rnacentral:rRNA from 1 species
UACGUAGGGGGCAAGCGUUGUCCGGAAUCAUUGGGCGUAAAGCGCGCGUAGGCGGCCCGGUAAGUCCGUUGUGAAAGUCAAAGGCUCAACCUUUGAACGCCGAUGGAUACUGCCGGGCUAGAGUCCGGAAGAGGCGAGUGGAAUUCCUGGUGUAGCGGUGGAAUGCGCAGAUAUCAGGAGGAACACCAAUAGCGAAGGCAGCUCGCUGGGACGGUACUGACGCUGAGGCACGAAAGUGUGGGGAUCAAACAGG